GAUGAAGAACGUAGCGAAAUGCGAUAAGUAAUGUGAAUUGCAGAAUUCAGUGAAUCAUCGAAUCUUUGAACGCACAUUGCGCCCUCUGGUAUUCCGGAGGGCAUGCCUGUUCGAGCGUCAUUUCACCACUCAAGCCUGGCUUGGUAUUGGGCGCCGCGGUGUUCCGCGCGCCUCAAAGUCUCCGGCUGAGCUGUCCGUCUCCAAGCGUUGUGAUUUCAUUAAUCGCUUCGGAGUGCGGGCGGCCGCGGCCGUUAAAUCUUUCACAAGGUUGACCUCGGAUCAGGUAGGGAUACCCGCUGAACUUAAGCAUAUCAAUAAGCGGAGGA
rnacentral:misc_RNA from 1 species